UACGAAGGGGGCUAGCGUUGUUCGGAAUUACUGGGCGUAAAGCGCACGCAGGCGGCUCGCUAAAUUAGAAGUGAAAGCCCCGGGCUUAACCUGGGAAUUGCUUUUAAGACUGUCGGGCUAGAAUCCAGAAGAGGGUAGUGGAAUUCCGAGUGUAGAGGUGAAAUUCGUAGAUAUUCGGAAGGACACCAGUGGCGAAGGCGACUACCUGGUCUGGCAUUGACGCUCAUGUGCGAAAGCGUGGGGAGCAAACAGG
rnacentral:rRNA from 1 species